UUGCACGCUCCCUCACACACAGUGGACAUGUGUAAUGAUCAUGCUGUUUAAUCAGUUUCUUGAUAUGCCAUGCCUGCCAGGUAGAAAUGCUCACCAACAGCAAUAUAAACAAAUUUGUGCCCAAAAUUGGAGAAAUAGGUUUUUUGAGCGUAUGGAAAAUGUAUGGGAACUCUUUCAGAUCGUGAAACAUGGGACCAACAUUUUUGUUCAGUAUGUGCUUUUUUGUCUAGAGUUUAAAAAAAGAAAAAAAAAUUGAAAGGUCAAGUGGCGGUUGGUGGGGGGGAUGAAGUCACUGAAUGUCAUGAUUGGUGGGAUUAUUGUAUGCCUCCUGUCUUUGGCUUUUGUUAUCCAAUGAAAGCUCUUUAUGUUUUCAUAGAAUGUGAGCGAUAAUCCAAUCAUGUGUUGCAUUCAGAGGUUCCAUUUCCCUCCCAUAAAAAAAACAAGUUCUCAUGUUUUAUACCCUUUCGCUAAAAGAAGCGUGUAGUACUGGGCAAGUUUCUGAAACAAACCAGCAAUCUUAUCUUGAAGACCAACGGUAGCUUAGUAGUUUCAAGCAUUCCAAUGGGUUUGUUUUUUAAAUUCUGUUUACAAGUGCUUGUCUCGACUGUACUUUAUAUUUUCAAAUGUCUGACAUUUAAAAUGUCUCCGUUGUGAUUUGAGGAUCAUGUAGAUUUUUAAAAUAACUACUCUUUAUUGCAUGUUCCAUUUUGAAAUAUACUUUAUUCCAAUUAAUUGCUCCUGAAAUUGUAUUUCUUGAAUAAUUACCUUUGUUUUAAGUCACAUACUGUGACAAUGAAAAUACUCGUAUCAACUAUCUAAUGCAGAUGUUAAUGGUUUGGUCAGAAUUAGACUUAAACGCUGCAUCUUUCACAUAUUUUGAAGCUAUUGUCAUUUUCAUCACACUCUAAAUUAAGACAAGUCAGCCCAGUGGGUGUCAGGAAACAUUUAAUUCAACUUUGAUGCAGCUGAAUGUCAAGAAAUCUCUGGUAUAUAGAAAACUUUAAUUUGGUAUUCAUUAAUUAAAACAGUUUUGAUGGAAACUUGCAUAGGUGUUUAGACUCGUUGCGAGUCAUUCUUGAAUACGCUAUUGCUCGUCUUAUCAUGGUUCAUAGCUGCAGAGGACAAGUAGAUUUAUAGUUUUCUGAUCAUCCUUUACAAUGAAUGCAUUGUUUUGAUAUCCACGGACUCCCUCUGAAAUUGUAUAUGAUGUAAUGUUUCAGUGCAUCCCCUUUUAAACUAUGUGCCAGUAAACUUGCAUUUUCCUUUUUGUAUAAAACCCAAAAUGUCUUGUAGAUAUUGUUGCUAAAAUGUGUUCUAACUCAGAUGUUUGAUGCCAUGCUUGUAGUCCUGAGCCCCAGCAACUGAUGUAAGUUUUCUAAUAAAAUUAAUACUGGUAACA